GACGAACGCUGGCGGCGUGCCUAAUACAUGCAAGUCGAGCGGACAGAUGGGAGCUUGCUCCCUGAAGUCAGCGGCGGACGGGUGAGUAACACGUGGGCAACCUGCCUGUAAGACUGGGAUAACUUCGGGAAACCGGAGCUAAUACCGGAUAAUCCUUUUCCUUUCAUGAGGAAAAGCUGAAAGACGGUUUCGGCUGUCACUUAUAGAUGGGCCCGCGGCGCAUUAGCUAGUUGGUGAGGUAAUGGCUCACCAAGGCGACGAUGCGUAGCCGACCUGAGAGGGUGAUCGGCCACACUGGGACUGAGACACGGCCCAGACUCCUACGGGAGGCAGCAGUAGGGAAUCUUCCGCAAUGGACGAAAGUCUGACGGAGCAACGCCGCGUGAGCGAUGAAGGCCUUCGGGUCGUAAAGCUCUGUUGUUAGGGAAGAACAAGUAUCGUUCGAAUAGGGCGGUACCUUGACGGUACCUAACCAGAAAGCCACGGCUAACUACGUG
rnacentral:rRNA from 1 species